UCAGUCACUAGGAGGCUGUUACUAGGGUUCAUUAUAAAUAAGAAUGGCCCCACAAGAGUCUGCAUUACGGUAUUUUUCUGCAUUCUGUAUCCAUCCGCCUGUGUGCAGUGUGCCUGGAAGAGGAUGUGUGCCAAGGCUCACUGAGCUCUGUAUACCUGCAUUUCGCUGACUGACUAUAUACUGCAUCCAGCCAAUAUGAAAAGGCAGAACAAAGGGACACAGCAGCACAAUUUUCACAUUAGAGGCUCAAAUCUUCAGGACUUUUCAUACAGGAAAGAAAGGUUUGUGACCACAAAACCUCUAUUGAACCAUAACAACACAUAAUGCUUCCUGCUCUUAAAUGUAGAAGUUUGAAACUUCCAUCGUAUAUUUCGUAUGUAUCUGAGAUGACUUGGAAGGAUCCAUCAGCAAUGGCAGAGAAAGUCUUUUCAGGUUACUUGGAUCCACUCAAUGGAGCUUCCAUUCCAUAUAUUCAGAGACUGUCAGCAAUUGCUUCCUUUGAAAAUGAGACAAUACGUCAUGAGAACCUGAGAAAACUUAAAGGGAAAAAAGAAGAACAAUAAGAAAGCUUUUAUCGCUUUGAUGACUGCAUAUUUGGAUUAUUCAUAGCUGAACACUGGGCCAUAAUUCAUACAUACCAUAUACACAGAGAUAUGUAACAGUAUUAAGGAUGAUGAUUCUAUAUACAAUAAUCAGUAAGAAAGUUCAUUUGGCCAAAUCUAGAAGAUCCCACACCCUUGUAAUAUAUUCCUGACCUUUUUUUGUUGUUUUUUUUUUUAAUUAGUUUCAGUUACUUUGUACUGUUUAGAAACAGAAAACACAUUUUUUAAAGGAAACCAUCAGCAUGCUGCUGUUUAUUGAUGGUGUUUCCUACUAUGUAUUUCAGCACUAUUAAAGGGGCACUCCGGUGAAAACCUUUUUUCUUUUAAAUCAACUGGUGGCAGAAAGUUAAACAUAUUUGUAAAUUACUUCUAUUAAAA